rnacentral:lncRNA from 1 species
GAGAUGAACAGGUACAGUCAAAGCAGGCCCAGAGGUCGGUGCACGUGUGGUUGUGGAUAUAUAUGAGAGCCACAACCACUGUCAGGUCGCCAACGCUUUGGUAAUGGCGGGUGCAGGAGCGGAAGUGGAAGAUAGAGGGACGGGGAACAUGAGUUUCUUCUUCAAAACAGCAUGUUCCCGAGUUAUAAUUGACCAAUCUUGUGAAUGCAGGCUUUCAAUUUGUUUGGCUCUGCUUGAUGUGUCCGGGAUUUGUUUCUUUUUAUCUUGCUUAAUAAGGCCAGUUCCAAUAGGGUUUCAUGUUG